GGUGAGUAAUGUCUGGGAAACUGCCUGAUGGAGGGGGAUAACUACUGGAAACGGUGGCUAAUACCGCAUAACGUCGCAAGACCAAAGAGGGGGACCUUCGGGCCUCUUGCCAUCAGAUGUGCCCAGAUGGGAUUAGCUUGUUGGUGAGGUAACGGCUCACCAAGGCGACGAUCCCUAGCUGGUCUGAGAGGAUGACCAGCCACACUGGAACUGAGACACGGUCCAGACUCCUACGGGAGGCAGCAGUGGGGAAUAUUGCACAAUGGGCGCAAGCCUGAUGCAGCCAUGCCGCGUGUAUGAAGAAGGCCUUCGGGUUGUAAAGUACUUUCAGCGGGGAGGAAGGUGUUGUGGUUAAUAACCGCAGCAAUUGACGUUACCCGCAGAAGAAGCACCGGCUAACUCCGUGCCAGCAGCCGCGGUAAUACGGAGGGUGCAAGCGUUAAUCGGAAUUACUGGGCGUAAAGCGCACGCAGGCGGUCUGUCAAGUCGGAUGUGAAAUCCCCGGGCUCAACCUGGGAACUGCAUUCGAAACUGGCAGGCUUGAGUCUUGUAGAGGGGGGUAGAAUUCCAGGUGUAGCGGUGAAAUGCGUAGAGAUCUGGAGGAAUACCGGUGGCGAAGGCGGCCCCCUGGACAAAGACUGACGCUCAGGUGCGAAAGCGUGGGGAGCAAACAGGAUUAGAUACCCUGGUAGUCCACGCCGUAAACGAUGUCUACUUGGAGGUUGUGCCCUUGAGGCGUGGCUUCCGGAGCUAACGCGUUAAGUAGACCGCCUGGGGAGUACGGCCGCAAGGUUAAAACUCAAAUGAAUUGACGGGGGCCCGCACAAGCGGUGGAGCAUGUGGUUUAAUUCGAUGCAACGCGAAGAACCUUACCUGGUCUUGACAUCCACAGAACUUUCCAGAGAUGGAUUGGUGCCUUCGGGAACUGUGAGACAGGUGCUGCAUGGCUGUCGUCAGCUCGUGUUGUGAAAUGUUGGGUUAAGUCCCGCAACGAGCGCAACCCUUAUCCUUUGUUGCCAGCGGUUAGG
rnacentral:rRNA from 1 species